CAAUUGAAUUAGCCAAAAGGGGAGUGGGGUUGCACCCCACAAUCACAAUUGGGCCUUGAUACUUAAAAAAAGAAAAACUUUUAUAAACCUGUAAGAUAAACAUAUUCUACCAGAGCUUCAUUAACAAAAAGACAUCCAGCAAGAAGGUCCAAUAUGGUUAAUGACACGGGGACAAGGGUAUGCUUGCACAGGACCAGGUCACACAGCACCAUCAUGGAUGUCACCCCAGAACAUGUGGCCAUAGAGAGAGAUGUUCAAGCCGGUGGUAAGGUCGGCUGGCAGCAGACCUGUCUUGGACUUUACGUGGGUCGGUCAUGCCGACAGCUGUGUCUUUCGUUUCUCUUCUUAGUCGGCUACAGGAGAUACUAAGCCGCAAAUGGCCAAGGCCUGCUCAGCUUCAAGUCAGAGUGUUUCAACUGCUGUAAUCACAAAAACAAAUAGGAGGGAUUGUUGGAGACUGGCUGUGUGGGGUUAAGCUGCUGGGCACAGGGACCUCUCGCUGUAUUGGAAAAGAGCACACGGUGCUCUGAUGUCAGGACAGAACCACAGCUGAGGCAGCUGAGGACAGGGACUAGUCCAGAGCAGUGACGCUGGUGACCUUAGAGGUCAAGCAGUUCCCUUCAAUGGCAAACUAACUUCCAAGGUUCUGCUCCGUUCCUACAGUGCCUCAGUAUCACCUUCCUUUGUUUGCAAUCCACAUAAAUACGGGUUGUGUGGUGGAGCUCUUUGUCUUUACUGCUAAGAGAGUACUGACCUCCUGGAUGCUGCCAAGCCAUACUGCUGGUCUCAUUAUUUGAGCCGUUCACUGUCCACUCACUUAGACUGGGACUAGGCCCAGCCCAAUAUGCAGUCGUGAUCCCAAGAGCACAAAGGGCCCUCGUGUGGAAAUCUCUGCCCAUGCCAGGGCUGGAAAACCUUGUGCUGAGCCCGCUUUUACCACUCCCGGCCUGCUUCAUCAGGACUGUGAGACACUAUGGCACCGUGAGGCCUCUAGGGCGGCGGUGUAGCUGCCCGACCUCUUUUCCAAGCUUUCACAAGCUCAUGGUCCUGUCUUCACAGCUCUGUCCUUCUGGUGCUACUUGUGCCAUCCCCUUGAUGAACAAUUUUAGGGUCUCAGCUCCUGUGUGUCCGGAAUAGCCACGGGCACCGGUGGGGACACCCACACAGGCAGGGGCUCUGUAUUUCCUGUUGAAACCCAGGGAGAGCCUGAGUGAACCGUCCACCUCCACAAACUGCCAAUUCACUGUUUGCACCCAUGGUCAGUGGCCAGCUGGGUCAGCAAUGCACCCUGUCAGCAUUGCUGGAAGAAAUACCCGUGACAUUCAGGUCGUGAGGGUUAUGGUGCCUGAGUGGUUUUCAGGGAUUUGGAGGCUCUCCAACUGGCACCUCCAGCCAUGCAUACUCACAUGGGCUGGUGCCAUGUGCAGAAGUCAGGGCUCAGAGCCCGGCAUCAGAGGUCAGGGCAAGAAUCCACCACGUGAGCUUAAGGUAUUUUGUCCCAGGAAUGGAAAAGCUGACUCUGCAUGGCCUUUGAAGUGAGAGCUCACGGGGCCGGGGAGAUGGCUCAGCGGAAUGAGCGCUUCCCUGAGGGCCUGAGUUCAAUCCCUGGUUCCGCAAAAAAAAAAAAAAAAAAAGAAGUGAGAGCUCAGAACCUGACCCUUGCUGUCAGAGGCCAGAAUCCCACACUUGUAUGCAGUUGGAGGUAACCGCACCACUGAGGGUUGAGAAACUGGAGCCUCAUGCUUGCCAUGAAGGAGUCUUGGUCACUAUGUGUGAGGUCACUAAGGGGCGAGGCUUGGACAUCCCCAUGAGUGAGGGAAAAGGAGAAGUGUGGUG